AAGGAUACCAUAGAAGUCUCAAGGGCAGGGGCCACAUGCAGGUUAUGAUUGAUGUAUUAUCUGGCCAUAAUUGAUUCAAGAAGAUGGAAAAUAACUUUGGUGAAAAGCUGAAAGAAACCCUAAUGCAAUUCCAAGUGCAAGGCAAAGAGCAAUAACAGACAAACAGAAGAAGACAACGUGAAAACAGAAGCAGGGAUCAGAGUGAUGCAGUCACAAAUUCCACAA
rnacentral:lncRNA from 1 species